UACACUCCUGCGGGAGGCAGCAGUGGGGAAUAUUGCACAAUGGGCGCAAGCCUGAUGCAGCCAUGCCGCGUGUAUGAAGAAGGCCUUCGGGUUGUAAAGUACUUUCAGCGGGGAGGAAGGCAAUACGGUUAAUAACCGUGUUGAUUGACGUUACCCGCAGAAGAAGCACCGGCUAACUCCGUGCCAGCAGCCGCGGUAAUACGGAGGGUGCAAGCGUUAAUCGGAAUUACUGGGCGUAAAGCGCACGCAGGCGGUCUGUCAAGUCGGAUGUGAAAUCCCCGGGCUCAACCUGGGAACUGCAUUCGAAACUGGCAGGCUUGAGUCUUGUAGAGGGGGGUAGAAUUCCAGGUGUAGCGGUGAAAUGCGUAGAGAUCUGGAGGAAUACCGGUGGCGAAGGCGGCCCCCUGGACAAAGACUGACGCUCAGGUGCGAAAGCGUGGGGAGCAAACAGGAUUAGAAACCCGAGUAGUCCC
rnacentral:rRNA from 1 species